GAACGCUAGCUACAGGCUUAACACAUAGCAAGUCGAGGGGAAACGAUAGAGAAGCUUGCUUUUUCUAGGCGUCGACCGGCGCACGGGUGAGUAACGCGUAUCCAACCUGCCCAUCACUUGGGGAUAACCUUGCGAAAGUAAGACUAAUACCCAAUGACGUCUCUAGAAGACAUCUGAAGGAGAUUAAAGAUUUAUCGGUGAUGGAUGGGGAUGCGUCUGAUUAGCUUGUUGGCGGGGUAACGGCCCACCAAGGCGACGAUCAGUAGGGGUUCUGAGAGGAAGGCCCCCCACAUUGGAACUGAGACACGGUCCAAACUCCUACGGGAGGCAGCAGUGAGGAAUAUUGGUCAAUGGACGAGAGUCUGAACCAGCCAAGUAGCGUGCAGGAUGACGGCCCUAUGGGUUGUAAACUGCUUUUUAUAAGGGAAUAAAGUGAGUCUCGUGAGACUUUUUGCAUGUACCUUAUGAAUAAGGACCGGCUAAUUCCGUG
rnacentral:rRNA from 1 species